rnacentral:rRNA from 1 species
UACGUAGGGGGCAAGCGUUGUCCGGAAUCAUUGGGCGUAAAGAGCGUGUAGGCGGCUCGAUAAGUCUGGUGUGAAAGUCCAGGGCUCAACCCUGGAAGGCCGGUGGAAACUGUCGGGCUAGAGUCCGGAAGAGGCGAGUGGAAUUCCCGGUGUAGCGGUGAAAUGCGCAGAUAUCGGGAGGAACACCAAUGGCGAAGGCAGCUCGCUGGGACGGUACUGACGCUGAGACGCGAAAGCGUGGGGAGCAAACAGG